rnacentral:rRNA from 1 species
CUGGGACUGAGACACGGCCCAGACUCUACGGAGGCAGCAGUGGGAAUAUGCACAAUGGGGGAAACCCUGAUGCAGCGACGCAGCGUGCGGGAUGACGGCCUUCGGGUUGUAAACCGCUUUCAGCAGGGAAGAAGCCUUUCGGGGUGACGGUACCUGCAGAAGAAGUACCGGCUAACUACGUGCCAGCAGCCGCGGUAAUACGUAGGGUACAAGCGUUGUCCGGAAUUAUUGGGCGUAAAGAGCUCGUAGGUGGUUGGUCACGUCUGCUGUGGAAACGCAACGCUUAACGUUGCGCGUGCAGUGGGUACGGGCUGACUAGAGUGCAGUAGGGGAGUCUGGAAUUCCUGGUGUAGCGGUGAAAUGCGCAGAUAUCAGGAGGAACACCGGUGGCGAAGGCGGGACUCUGGGCUGUAACUGACACUGAGGAGCGAAAGCAUGGGGAGCGAACAGGAUUAGAUACCCUGGUAGUCCAUGCCGUAAACGUUGGGCACUAGGUGUGGGGGACAUUCCACGUUCUCCGCGCCGUAGCUAACGCAUUAAGUGCCCCGCCUGGGGAGUACGGUCGCAAGGCUAAAACUCAAAGGAAUUGACGGGGGCCCGCACAAGCGGCGGAGCAUGCGGAUUAAUUCGAUGCAACGCGAAGAACCUUACCAAGGCUUGACAUACACCAGACCGUUCUGGAAACAGUUCCUCCCCUUUGGGGUUGGUGUACAGGUGGUGCAUGGUUGUCGUCAGCUCGUGUCGUGAGAUGUUGGGUUAAGUCCCGCAACGAGCGCAGCCCUCGUUCUAUGUUGCCAGCACGUAAUGGUGGGAACUCAUAGGAGACUGCCGGGGUCAACUCGGAGGAAGGUGGGGAUGACGUCAAAUCAUCAUGCCCUUUAUGUCUUGGGCUUCACGCAUGCUACAAUGGCUGGUACAGAGAGAUGCGAGACCGCGAGGUUUUAGCGAAUCCCUUAAAGCCAGUCUCAGUUCGGAUCGUAGUCUGCAAUUCGACUACGUGAAGUCGGAGUCGCUAGUAAUCGCAGAUCAGAACGUGCG